rnacentral:tRNA from 1 species
UGGCUAAGUGGUAAAUCAUUUGGCUUCCAAACCAGAAGUCCCAGGUUCGAAUCCUGG